GUGUCAGCCGCCGCGGUAAUACGUAGGUGGCAAACGUUGUCCGGAUUCACUGGGCGUAAAGCGCGCGCAGGCGGAUUGGUCAGUCUGGGGUGAAAUCUCUCGGCUCAACUGAGAGAGGUCCCUGGAUACUGCCAGUCUUGAGGGGCUCAGAGGAGAGUGGAAUUCCGCGUGUAGUGGUGGAAUGCGUAGAUACGCGGAGGAACACCAGUGGCGAAAGCGGCUCUCUGGGGGCCACCUGACGCUGAGGCGCGAAAGCGUGGGGAGCGAACCGGAUUAGAUACCCGGGUAGUCC
rnacentral:rRNA from 1 species